rnacentral:rRNA from 1 species
GCUUGUCUCAAAGAUUAAGCCAUGCAUGUCUAAGUGUAAAUAAGUCUAUACUGUGAAACUGCGAAUGGCUCAUUAAAUCAGUUAUCGUUUAUUUGAUGAUCUCUUACUACUUGGAUAACCGUAGUAAUUCUAGAGCUAAUACAUGCACAAAAUCCCGACUUACGAAGGGAUGUAUUUAUUAGAUACAAACCAACAUCGUGGUGAUUCAUAAUAACUUUGCGAAUCGUAUGCCUCACGGCGACGAUGAAUCAUUCAAAUUUCUGCCCUAUCAACUGUCGACUGUGGCAUAGACGCCCACAGUGGUUUUGACGGGUAACGGGGAAUUAGGGUUCGAUUCCGGAGAGGGAGCCUGAGAAACGGCUACCACUUCUAAGGAAGGCAGCAGG